GUGCUCACUUUGGUGGCACAUAUACUAAAAUUGGAACAUAUAGAGAAGAUUAGCAUGGCCCCUUCAUAAGGAUGACGUAUAAAUUCAUAAAGAAAGAGUUAAUCUGU
rnacentral:snRNA from 1 species